AGAGAGGGGGAGGGAGGAGAGGAGGAAGAGCGCCGCAGCCUCGGCAGCUGGAGUCGGAGCAGGGGGGGGACAGUUUCAAAAAAUAAUUAAAAAUCGAGGAAAUAUCCUAGAAAAGCCCUUUUGGCGUGAAAACCCCAAAGAGGAAUCAGGCUUCCCGAAACGUAAGUUUCGGGUGCCAGAAAGGUCUGUAUUCCGACCCCUGGGGCUUUAGAUCCCGGGAGGAAACUUAAAGGGGUGAGCGCCGCGGCGGGAGUGUCCGGCUGCGGCCCACAAGGACAGAAACUAGGGAACGUGGUGACGAGCUGGGGGACAGACGGGAGCAGAGAGCCCUUUAAGGAAGAUGGGGGCUCCGACUUCUCCUUUAGGGGUGACCCGAUAUACCCCCUACACACACACCCUCCCCCCCUUCCUACCCCACCCAAAUCUCCGCACAGAGGAAGCUGGAAAGCCAAACUGUGUAAGCCUUUUUCUGGUUUACUACAUGCCAAGGACUGUGCCAAAUCGUUCACAUAAAACCACCAGCAUGUAUCACCUUAUUUGGUCGUCCCACAGUCUAAUGGGGAAGUAAGCGAGGACCCAAAUACUCAGUGGCUACGGGAUGAACUGGGACUCAAACGCAGUAUUGGAACCCCGGCCAUCAGAGUCUGUGAUUUGUCCCUGGUUUGUGUCGCAACAAAAAGAAGUCAGAGCCUUUCUUACUCCCUUAUAUCUCCUAUAGUUCCUGGAGAUUCUACAACGAAACGGGCAGACUCCUCCUCGUCUCUACCUGUGCUGUCUCCCUCUCUAGUCCUAGACACUGAGAGUGGGUGCCCCGUGGCCCCGUCAAGCCAGAUCACCAAGAAGCUCACCAAGAAGACUGCAUGCCUUGCUCUAGCCUUCCUAAGAUGGGAAAGUAGACUCCUGUUUUUGAGGGAAAUUGCCUGAUUUUGAGGGAAACGUAAAGGAAUUUUUUUUCCCUUAAGUGAACAUUCCACUUGUAAAAAUGAAAUCUGGAAGAACUUCUGCAAA